UACGGAGGAUGCGAGCGUUAUCCGGAUUUAUUGGGUUUAAAGGGUGCGCAGGCUGAUAUAUAAGUCAGUGGUGAAAUUCCCCGGCUCAACCGGGGGACUGCCGUUGAUACUGUAUAUCUUGAGUGUAGUGGGCGUUGGCGGAAUGUGUCAUGUAGCGGUGAAAUGCAUAGAGAUGACACAGAACACCGAUAGCGAAGGCAGCUGACGAUACUUACACUGACGCUCAUGCACGAGAGCGUGGGGAUCAAACAGGAUUAGAUACCCCCGUAGUCCA
rnacentral:rRNA from 1 species